rnacentral:rRNA from 1 species
AGCGAACGUUAGUGGCGGGCUUAACACAUGCAAGUCGAGCGAGAAAGGGGCUUCGGCCCUGAGUAAAGCGGCGGACGGGUGAGUAACACGUAGGUAAUCUUCCCUUGAGCGGGGGACAACGAGCCGAAAGGCUCGCUAAUACCGCAUACGUUUCUCGGGACUCUGGUCCUGGGAAGGAAAGCUAGGCCGCAAGGUCCGGCACUCGAGGAGGAGCCUGCGGCGCAUCAGCUAGUUGGUGGGGUAACGGCCUACCAAGGCGAAGACGCGUAGCUGGUCUGAGAGGAUGAUCAGCCACACUGGGACUGGGACACGGCCCAGACUCCUACGGGAGGCAGCAGUGGGGAAUAUUGGACAAUGGGCGCAAGCCUGAUCCAGCCACGCCGCGUGAGUGAUGAAGCCUUCGGGUCGUAAAGCUCUGUGGGGAGGGACGAACCGCUGAACGUUCAUAGCGUUCAGCAUGACGGUACCUCCUUAGCAAGCACCGGCUAACUUCGUGCCAGCCGCCGCAGUAAGAC